ensembl:rRNA 5S_rRNA 5S ribosomal RNA
ACCAGCAGCCAUAUCACUCUGCAACUCACAACUGGCAACCCACUGAAGCUAAGAUGGUGUGAGCCUGGUCAGUACCUGGAUGGGAGACCUCCUGGGAAAAACUAAGGUUGCUGCUGGAA